rfam:Cylindrobasidium torrendii FP15055 ss-10 unplaced genomic scaffold CYLTOscaffold_463, whole genome shotgun sequence.
UCCCUCUUAGCUCAGUGGUAGAGCGCGUCACUAGUAAUGACGAGGUCAGUCGUUCAAGUCGGCUAGAGGGAA